AGGUCUAUAGCUUAAUGGUAAAGCUUUGCUUUAAUAAGGCAAAAAUAUUGGUUCAAUUCCAUUUAGGCCUA
rnacentral:tRNA from 1 species